AAAGUUACAUAAGAUAUUAAUUUGCAGUUCUAAGCUCCAAAGCUGUCUCUUCAUCAUAGAUCUCUUCUCUUCAUACUGUGUUCACUCUCUGAAAUUUUUCAAUCUUCCAGGCAUUGUGCUUUCUGAUUCUAGUGUCAACUUUAAUAUUAAUUAUGCUGCCAAUUAUUAAGAUACAAAUGUAACUGAAUGGAAUGAUGUAAGAGAUGUCUUUGCAGGGAGUGGUUCUGCCAUCCCCUGUUGUUUCCAUUGAUAACCUAGAAUUUACCUUCUACCCCUCUUUUUCCACACGUACCAUUUUCCCCUCACCUAUUGAUCUUACCUCCGAAAUCUCCAUUUCUCUACUUCUCUUUACAUCCAGCACCAGGAUUCUAGCCAAAU
rnacentral:lncRNA from 1 species